UCAGUGAAUUGAAUUUGGGAAUAGAAAGUUAAAACCCUAAUUUCUAAACAUACACUGAUUUUGUUACAAUAGUGAUGCUUUUACAAUUUUCCCCCAAUAUUGAUGAUUUAAAGGACUUGUCACAUUGUACUGAAACAAGUUUCAAAACUCUUGAAAACAAGCACAAACCACUUGUUUUGAAGGAUUUAAGGAAAAUUUGGGACAAGUAUAAUCCUAAUCUUCCAUUGUAGAAUGGAUAUUACAUUGAAUCAAACACAUUGCUUUUGGAUGAAUCACCCUACAAGGAACUGCUAAAUCCUCCCUACAACUCAAUCUUUCUUCAUGCAUUCAGUUAUGAAAAUUAGAAUCACAAUUCAU